UACGGAAGGUCCGGGCGUUAUCCGGAUUUAUUGGGUUUAAAGGGAGCGUAGGCCGGCUUUUAAGUCAGCGGUAAAAGCCCGGGGCUCAACCCCGGCGAGCUGUUGAAACUGGCUGUCUUGAGAUGUCGAGAGGUAUGCGGAAUGCGCAGUGUAGCGGUGAAAUGCUUAGAUAUUGCGCAGAACUCCGAUUGCGAAGGCAGCAUACCGGCGGCGAUCUGACGCUGAGGCACGAAAGCGUGGGUAUCGAACAGG
rnacentral:rRNA from 1 species